AAAAAAAAAAAAAAUUGUAUAGUUAUGAACAGUAGUCACUUGGUUGAAGGUGCGUGCACAGGUGGUCAUGUUUUCAUUAUUAACAGUAUCGUGAUUUUGCAAAGGGUUCUUGGCAUUCUCAGUCAUCGAGUCUGUACUUAUUCCUUCUUCCUUGUUUUUGGACUCAAGGAUCCUUUUGAUCUUUCACCCAAGAACUUAUGGAAUGUCUGAAUCUGGCCUAAAGAGGGUUGUACUUAUUUUGUAUACUUUGAAGUAACCUUUUGUAAUUUUUUUUAAUAUAUUAAUAUUUUUAUGCUAUAACCUUAUAUUAUUUGUGCUUUCUAACAUCCACUGGUGCAUGUGCUGGGUGGUGUGUCUUACUUCAAUGUAGUUCAGUUAUUUUGUACUGUAAACUGCACCCUACCCUUUUCUUAAUAUUUUUUUUUUUUUUUUUUUUUUU
rnacentral:misc_RNA from 1 species